CCCCUUCCACGCAACCAGCAACAAGCAGUUUCUCUACUCACCCUUCCCACAUCUGCAGCCAGAACGGCCGCGGCGACCGUGAUGCAGCCACGUGCGACGGCGGCCAAGCGGGAAGCAGCCACCGCAGCGACGAAUGCCCCGGUGGGGAGCUCAUCUGCAGCCGUGGAGUUGCCAAAUGGAGGAGCGGCUGCUACCGCGACGGUUGCAGCCCCGGAUCCGCCGUCUGCGGCCGGUGGCAAGGCGGCAAGAGCUGCGUCAGCCGCUACUUCUCUUUCCCCGCGUCGCUCACGAAAGGCGAAGAACCGUGGCAAGAAGACAGAGAUCCUAGAUGCUGAUCCAUCCGGCGGAGACAAGUCUGGACCAAGCAUUACCACUCCAUUGACUUCAACUAGGUCUAUUAAAUGAGCUCAAACGCAAGAUCACGGAGGUAGCUGGGGCGGUGCUGGUCAGCGAGAGAAAUAAAGCUACCAAGGAAGUUUUAGAUAGAAUAGAGAAAAUAGACAACUCAGUCAAGGUUUUGCAGGAGGGUACUGCGAAGCUUGCUCAUGAAGUUAAUCUCACGAGCGCUAGUGGCCACAUGGUGCAGCUGCAUAAUUUGGGCAACGGGAUUGCAUCACCUGUGAUGGAAGAAAUGGCAAGCGUUUUUAUGAGUGAAAAGAGAGGUGAACAGAAGCCAUACAAUGAAAACGACUUUGAUUGUGGGCGGUUUA